rnacentral:rRNA from 1 species
AUUGAACGCUGGCGGCAGGCCUAACACAUGCAAGUCGAGCGAGAGGCGGACGGGUGAGUAAUGUAUGGGGACUGCCCGUUAGAGGGGGAUAACUACAGGAAAAGGUAGCUAAUACCGCAUACUAUCGGAUAACCCAUAUGGGAUUAGCUAGUAGGGGGGGUAAUGGUUCACCUAGGCGACGAUCCCUAGCUGGUCUGAGAGGAUGAUCAGCCACCCUGGGACUGAGACACGGCCCAGACUCCUACGGAGGCAGCAGUGGGGAAUAUUGCACAAUGGGCGCAAGCCUGAUGCAGCCAUGCCGCGUGUAUGAAGAAGGCCCUCGGGUUGUAAAGUACUUUCAGUCGGGAGGCGUUACCGGCAGAAGAAGCACCGGCUAACUCCGUGCCAGCCGCCGCGGUAAUUC